rnacentral:rRNA from 1 species
AGAGUUUGAUCCUGGCUCAGAUUGAACGCUGGCGGCAUGCUUUACACAUGCAAGUCGAACGGCAGCACGGGUGCUUGCACCUGGUGGCGAGUGGCGAACGGGUGAGUAAUAUAUCGGAACAUGUCCGGAAGUGGGGGAUAACGUAGCGAAAGUUACGCUAAUACCGCAUAUGCCCUGAGGGGGAAAGGGGGGGAUCGCAAGACCUCUCGCUUUCGGAGUGGCCGAUAUCAGAUUAGCUAGUUGGUGAGGUAAAGGCUCACCAAGGCGACGAUCUGUAGCUGGUCUGAGAGGACGACCAGCCACACUGGGACUGAGACACGGCCCAGACUCCUACGGGAGGCAGCAGUGGGGAAUUUUGGACAGUGGGCGAAAGCCUGAUCCAGCCAUGCCGCGUGAGUGAAGAAGGCCUUCGGGUUGUAAAGCUCUUUCGGACAGAAAGAAAUCGCACUGGUUAAUACCUUGUGUGGAUGACGGUACCGUAAGAAGAAGCACCGGCUAACUACGUGCCAGCAGCCGCGGUAAUAC